rnacentral:rRNA from 1 species
AUUGAACGCUGGCGGCAUGCUUUACACAUGCAAGUCGAACGGUAACAGGCCUUCGGGUGCUGACGAGUGGCGAACGGGGGAGUAAUGCAUCGGAACGUACCCAGGGGUGGGGGAUAACGCAGCGAAAGCUGGGCUAAUACCGCGUGUGAUCUGAGGAUGAAAGCGGGGGACCGAGCAGCAAUGUUUGGCCUCGCGCCUUUGGAGCGGCCGAUGUCGGAUUAGCUAGUUGGUGGGGUAAAGGCCUACCAAGGCGACGAUCCGUAGCUGGUCUGAGAGGACGACCAGCCACACUGGGACUGAGACACGGCCCAGACUCCUACGGGAGGCAGCAGUGGGGAAUUUUGGACAAUGGGCGCAAGCCUGAUCCAGCCAUGCCGCGUGCGGGAAGAAGGCCUUCGGGUUGUAAACCGCUUUUGGCAGGAACGAAACGGUGUCCGCUAAUACCGGGCGCUAAUGACGGUACCUGCAGAAUAAGCACCGGCUAACUACGUG